rnacentral:lncRNA from 10 species
AUAAAAACAAACAUACAAAGAAACCCUGCGACCUACGUGGAGCCCACGGGGGCCAAACAUGCCAGCACCCCCCUGGAGUGGCGGUGUGGGACCCCACACCUGUCACACCUGCUGGCCUCCUUCUCCAUCUCCUGUGCAAUAUCCCUGGAAAGUUACUUUUUGUGUUUAAAAUUGGUCAUGUUAAUUGUUAAGGAAAGGAACAAUCCUUAAGUUAAAUUGGUAAGUUUAAAAAAACGAAAGACAGACCGCAACAGGCGUUGGUGAGGCUGUGGAGAAAUCAGAACCCUCGUGUGUUAUCGAUGCUAGCGUAAAAUGGCACGUCCACUGUGGAAACAGUCUGGUAGUUCCUCAAAAAGCUAAACAUAGAAACACCGAGACUCAGCAGCUCCAGUCCUAGGAAUGUGUGUCCCCAGAUCAGUGAAAACACACUCCACACAGAAACAUGCACACAGCUGUUCACAGCAGCACUGUUUAUAACAGCCAGACAAGGGGGUGCGGCCCGAAUGUCUGCUGGACAAACAGCCCGUGGUCUGUGCACACAGUGGGGCAGGACUCAGCCACGGAAAGGCAGUUCCAGCACAUGCUGCUGCAGGGAUGAGUUUUGAAGACACCAUGCCAAGUGAGGUCAGUCAGCCACAAGAGAACAGAACCUUGGCCGGGCGUGAGCGACCAUGCCCGGCCCCCCCACCCCAAAGCCCUCUUAAAAGCCCCUUGGGAGCUUUGGGGCACGUGCAGGGCCGGCCAAAUGUUGGAGGAGACACAUCCAGGCGCCCAGAGGAAGAGUCACUGUUGGGUUUUAGUAAAACACCCACGCAGCGCAGUCGAACGUGAGGAGGAGGGGCUGGGCUUCAGAGCUUUCUGGAGACACAGCA